rnacentral:lncRNA from 1 species
UCAGUUCAGGAUGUGCAAUUUGGGUUGGAGUAGUGAGUGAAAUUUGAAAGCACGGGAAUAAUGUCAUCUUUAAAAGGGGCGUUGCUGAUGCGUCUGAAGGGUUCGCAAUGGUUCAAGUAAAAGUUUGGUCUUGAAUUUCUUCAAAAUCUCGUUUUGGUUUGUUCUCCUAUUCUAGUUGGUAUUUGGUCUUCAAAAUCUCGUUUUGGUUUGUUCUCCUAUUCUAGUUGGUAUUUGGAGCCUUUGGCUUGUAUGAGGCUAGUUUCUUGAUGUCUUGUUUGAGAAUUUUUAUUUUGUUUGGUUGUGUGGCUUUGUCAGUAUGGUAGGCGUUUCUUGGUAGGUGAAGG